GACGAACGCUGGCGGCGUGCUUAACACAUGCAAGUCGAACGGAAAGGCCCUGCUUGCAGGGUGCUCGAGUGGCGAACGGGUGAGUAAGAAGUGGGUGAACUGCCCAUUAAUUAGGGAUAGGCCAGGGAAAGAGGGUCUAAUACUGGAUAGAAAAAAGCUGGAGGCGGUGUGGUGGAAAGAUAAGGAUCGGUAUGGGUUGAGCUAGCGGCCGAUCAGCUCGUUGGUGGGGGAAUGGCCUAACAAGGCGUCGACGGGUAGCCGGCCUGACUGGGUGGACGGCCACAUCCGGACUGCUAUGCGGGCCAGCAUCCUGCGAGCGGCAGCAGUGGGGGAUAUUGUACCAUGGGCGCAAGCCUUAUGUAGCGACGCUGCUCGGGGCGUGACGCUCUUCUGGUUGUAAACUCCUUACGUCCAUGUCGAUGCCCUUGUGGUGACGGUAGUUGUAGAAGAAGCCCCGGCUAACUACGUG
rnacentral:rRNA from 1 species